GAUAUUCAUGCUAAAUAGGUAUUUCAUGCUCCACCAAUCCCCAGUGGACAAAUUUACAGCCACAGCCUGUCUUGUAUUUAAGGCGAGUGCCUUUGUUCCCCGGGGUCCCUGUAUCAUCAAUAAGGUGUUCCUGCAAUAAAGGCUGAUUGAGAAGGAUCCAACGGUGUUGCGUCUUCCUUGCCAGUCGAGGUGGGCGCGACAACUGGUGGCCCUUACGGAGACCCGAGAAAAUUAUCUUUUCUCGUCUGGAUCCAGAACUUUUUCAGCCUCAGGACGGUCGAUGUUGGUAAGUUCCCAGUAGGGGCAGUUAGUUGCCAGAAUUGGGACAAUAGAGUUCCUAUAAGUGGAACGGUAAAGUUCCUGAAGUUGGGACGAUAAAGCUCCGGGAUAAGGGAUUGUAAAACUUCCCUAGUAGGACAAUAAAGUUCUCUGGAUAAGCAGAGACAAAGAAUAGCCUUUGUUUAGAGGCAAAAAGGGGUUUGUGGAGCACGGUAAUGUUGUCUUUUCCAUUUGUUCCUUUGUGGGUUGGACUAGCACUUUUGCCUUAUACUCUUUUUGUGUUGUGGUGUUGCUUCUGUCUGAAUUGCCACCGUCCAGGGCAUGGAUGCAUUUGUUGGGAAGAGUCCAUGAUGAGCCACAAGAUCGUGUGUAAAUAAACACGCCAGCUCGCCAGCUCCCCUUGCUUGUAAAUCGAUCGUAAAUAAGGUCGUAAAAGCAUGGGAAGCUCACACUCCACCCCGCUCCUGUCAGCUCUUCAGGAUCUUCUUGGUUAGCGUAAGCUUAAAAUUGAAAAGAAAAUCCUGCUGAGUUUUCUUGAUGAGUGUAACCAUUGUGCCCCGUGGUUUAUAGUGUCAGGGUCGCUCACUUUGAGAGCAUGGGAGAAGCUGGGGAAAGAUCUGGAUAAGGAGACUACAGUGGGCAAGCUUAAACCAGGGACAAGGCCACUUUGGCGUAUGAUCCGUGCCGCUUGGAAGAUAAACGAUGUGAAGAAGCUGUUAGGACAGAUCAGAGAAUCCUUACAGAGCAACAGGAGAGUAUGUCAGAAGGAGAGAAAGUUUUGAAGGAAGGAAAGAAAAGAAAAGGAGGAAAAGAGGUAAAAGAAAAGGCAGAAAAGAUCAAGAAGAGGAUAGACAAAGGCGAGAAUAGUAAUCAGGAUUUAGGAACAAAAAAAAAUUUGUCCCUCAUUAAAGGCAUUGACCUUGGAGAUGUCUAGUGAUUCAGAGUUUCGUGAUAGUGACUUAGCUGACCUUGAGGAGGAGGUAGCUCAUUAUGAGAAAGAGAUUUAUCAUUCUGACUGGCCAAACACUUACGCUGUGCAGAAACAAGCCAAGGACUUAAAUAAGAAGGCAAUUAUGCCAACAGCACCUCCUGCACCCGUGUAUAACUUUCAAGGUAAAACAAUGGUGAAGCCUGCAGGAAGUACUUCUUUUUGCCCGGAAGUAUGGAAAGAGUUAGGAUUGAGUUUUCCAGUUUUUCUGGAUGCAAACGGGCAGCGACAUCAUGAACCUGUUGACUUUAAGACAAUAAAACAAUUAACAGAGUCAGUCAAAACCUAUGGAGUCAACUCAGCUUUUGUUAUCGCUCAAAUUGAGGCUCUUGGCUGAUACUGUCUCACCCAUGGAGACUGGGGGAGUUUAACCAGAGCCUGCCUCUCUCCGGCUAUGGAACAGGUGUAGUGAAAGGAAACUUAAUUUUAUGGACCCUGCUCUAGUGGCGGUGUGUUGGUUGAUAACCAACCUUAAUUUUUGAAGCAUAGUGUUUUAUCUGUGCUUGUGCUCCCAGCCCACACAGUAGGGGGGGAGCGAAACUAGCUGCGGAGCUGCUACAGUGAACAUGGAGACUGCUCAGUCUCACCCAAUUUUUCUGGCUCUUCAGGAGCUGUUUAAAAGAAAAAGGCUUAGGAUAAAAAGAAGCACUAUAGAGAGAUUUCUUAGUGAGUGCGAUUGCCAUUGCACCUUGGCUCGCUCUCUGGGAAUCUCGAGGUGGACAGCUAAGAAAAGCUGGGAAAGAUUUAAAUUUUGCUUGGGAACAAGGAACCUUAAAGGGACAGGCUGCGUUAGAAAGGCUACAGGAGGGGCUGGAGAGAUGGCUCAGUGGUUAAGAGCACCGACUGCUCUUCCUGAGGUCCUGAGUUCAAAUCCCAGCAACCACAUGGUGGCUCACAACCAUCUGUAAUGAGAUUCGAUGCCCUCUUCUGGUGUGUCUGAAGACAGCUACAGUGUACUCAUAUACAAUAAAUAAAUCUUUAAAAAAAAAAAAAAAGAAAGGCUACAGGAGGAAUGAUCUGAAAAGGCUGAGAGUGAAGUGGGGGAGGACUCUAAGGAAAACAAGAACAAGAAAAGAAUUUCUGCUUUUAGUGGCCAGACCUUCAACUUUUGCUCACAGAAAGAGAGUGCUCAUUAAGAGAAGUUCUUUCAGGGAGCCUGCCUUAUCUGUUGGUUUUAUUCCAAGAGAGAAGUCAGUCUCCAGCAUUAAGUGAUUUUUCUCGUUAGUCAUCAUUAACAUGGAGAGUGCCUUUGAUCCUAUCCCCACAGCAGCCAGUUCCUGCCCCUGUGGUCAAAAUGCCCCAGGUUGGGGGACAGAGAAGCCCCUCGGACUACAAAACUGCCAACAGCCAAAGGACGAGAUAAAAAUAAUAAGGACUUGAAGAUCCGAUCCUUCUCCUGAUUUAGUAGCUCUGUUCCAAGAACCAGGGGCCAUAAAACCUUUUGGCCCUUAUCUCCUGGAGCCAUAAAACAGGGACGUAUUGGGGUAAGAUGGGCUAGAAAAGGCCUCAAUGAUUUGGGCUAGCAUGAGUAAAACUUGUAAUAAAAAAGAGACAAGGUAAUGGUAAAGUGUUUUUGUGUAUGCAUUCUUUUAGAGUUAUGUUUUAGUCUUUGGACCCUGAUUAGAGACAGUUUACACCCUAGACAUGAGAGAGAAUGGGUUUGGGAAAAACAGUCCUCCCAGACUCUCCACAGAUGCUUUGGAGAAAGAGAAAAACUUUCAGAGCUCUCCUGGGAACAGAAGAAAGGUAAGAGACGUCCUGCCUCUCUGCUGGCUCCUAUUAGAGAAAUGCUUAUUUCUGGUUCUGAACUCCAUAGAUAAGAUAUCUGAGUCCUUUCAGUGGGACAUCAUCUAGUUUUUUCCCUCUAUGUCUAUUGUCUGUCCUUGGUGCACCAAGCUGUCCAUGUCUGUCAGUUUAUGUCUGUGGAUUUUGUUUCUCAUUGUUUAAAUGUUUUAUGUUUCAUGUUCAAAAGAAAAAAUGGUAAAAACUUUAUCUGCCGGUCAUUCACACCUUGAUUUGGUCUUAACUCGUUUCUGAAAAGAGAACAAAUGAGUAAAACGCAGUUUCAAUCGGCCUUUGGAGCCCUGUACCUGCAGCAAAGAGCCUAGGUCAGCUGGACAAGUUGCCCGGGGGCGGAGCAUCUGCAGGAGCUGAUCUUAAAGGCGCCAGCAGCUCCUCAGCUUCUUGGUAUGGGAGCUGAUGGCUGUUUCUCUUAGAAAAAUCCCUGAGUUGUUAUUAGACUUAGCAGGUGACAAGGUGUUUCUUUUAAAAUCACAGGUAGAAAAGCAAAAAUGGUGCUUGGUCUAAAUAUUAAAGACAUGUGUUAACCACUUCAAUUUUGUUUCUGACUGGUUUUAAAUGUAUAAAUAUGUUCUACAUGCCUUGGUCAUAGAUUAUUGGCCUUUAAGUUAUUGGAUAUGGUUAAAAAAUUAUAACAUCUAUAACAAGAAGUUGACAUAAAACUGAUAAUUUAGAUAGAGUCAUUCUAGACAAUAUGUGACAUGAGCCAACCUAGAGAAACAGGUCUAAAUUGAGAUAAUAUUUUUAUAGAACUCUUAUCCUAGAAGCCAGGCACCCCCAAAUUACAGAAUGUAAAAUUGUGUUGGAAGUUUUUAAAAGAUUUCAUGAUUCUUUCAAUUUAAUUUCUGAUUCUGCUUAUGUAGUUAACGCUGUGCGCUCACUUGAAAUUACAGGGCCAAUUAGGUUGACUAGUACUAUAUGUCAAAUUCUUUUAGAAUUACAAAAAUUAAUUUGGACCAAGAAAAAAUAAGUUUUUCAUACAACAUAUUUGAGCUCAUACUAAUUUGCCUGGUCCCAUGGCCAGUAAUAACACUUUGGUGGAUGCUAGUACUCGCAGAGAAUUUAUUUUUCAUGCAGCUCCAGUUGAUCUUGCUAGAGAAUUUCAUCAAAAGUUUCAUGUUCCUGCUUUUACUCUUCAACAAAAAUUUAAAAUCUCUAGAGCUACAGCUCGUGAUGUAGUAUUACGUUGCCAGAAUUGUGUUCAGUUUCACCACCCUCCUCAGGUGGGAGUUAACCCUCGUGGUCUGAUUCCACUAAAACUCUGGCAGAUGGAUGUCACACACAUAUCUCAAUUUGGAAAUUUAAAAUAUACACAUGUUUCUGUUGAUACCUGUUCUGGCAUUAUACAUGCCACUCUGAUGACUGGUGAAAAGGCUCGUAAUGCCAUUAGUCAUUGCUUAGAGGCGUGGACAGCCUGGGGAAAGCCUGACAGCCUCAAGACAGACAACGGACCUGCCUACACUACAAAGUCUUUUCAGACAUUUUGCCAAACAAUACAGGUCAAACAUAUACAGGAUUGCCAUACAAUCCCCAAGGUCAAGGAAUUGUAGAAAGAGCACAUCGUACUUUAAAAGAGCUCUUACAAAAACAAAAAGGGGGAAUUGCCUAUGGCAAAACACCAAGAGAACAGUUGUCUUUAGCUCUUUUUACUCUAAAUUUCUUAAUUUUGGAUAUGCAUGGCCGCUCUGCUGCGGAUCGCCAUGCUGCUACUAAACCUAUGACUAAUCAAAUACAGACAGCUGAGACUAUCAAUCAGAUUGUAGACAGAACCGCAGUGGCAUUAGAGAUACAAGAAGAAUUUAAUGCCCACUUGGCAUCUGGCUUUCUAUUAGCUAACCAACGAAUAGAUUUGAUUCAAGAACAAAUUGAGGCAUUAUAUCAUAUGACACAGCUGUCCUGCGUUUCCUCUCUUAGAGGCUUAUGUGUUACUCCAUUGCAAGCUAACUUUUCUCAGUAUUUUCAACAGAGCAAAGAAAUCUCAAAUCCAUGGAAGCGGAACAAUUAUCGAGACAAUUGCUGAUUGCUGUCCUUAACAACACCAGAAUGGAACCCAUCACGUUUGGAGAUUUCACCUCGUGGAUCACUAAUGCUUUCUCAUUUUUUAAAGAUUGGGCUGGCAUGUUUGCCUGGGGGGCCAUUGUCCUCUUGGGAUGUGGAGUAUGUCUAUGGCUUUUUUGCCAUUUACAACGAGAGCAUGCCAGACACAAAGCGAUUGUUUACCAAGCUAUGGCGGGCAUUGAAAGCGGUGCUUCUCCCAAUGUAUGGCUGGCCUCUCUGAUAGAUUGAGAGUUCGCCCUAGAUCAUAUUUUGUCACUGUCAUGUGAAGCCAUUGUAUCCAGAGACGGGCAACUUUCCUCAGGCUCGGACCAACCUAAGACAGGAGCCCGGUGGCGAUAGGGUUAAUUUCCAGUGAUGGGUAAGGCCGAGUUUUUAGAGAGGAACGACCUAAGAUAGGAGCAAUGACGUGUAUUGACGUGACACCCAGAUCUAGACCAGUCAUAGACAGAGGUGGCCUUGCCCUGUUUGAACAUUCGGGCUGGUCCUAUGCCCAUCUGCUCUGCUUCUCCCCUAAUAUUAAACACACACGUAUAGCCCAGGACGGUGUGUUGUACAUAAGUCAUCUCUAGCCAUUGGGGUGCAGUCCUAACUGCAAGAGUGGUUCGCCAUGGCCGAGCUGGGCACUCUGUGAGGCAUGUCUGACCUCUCUCAGACCACUACCUCCACCUAAUGGGUUCAUUUUAAAAAAAAAAAAAAGGGGGAGAUGUAGGGAGCGGCUAAAGAUGGCGCCGACCUCCGGUGGUCGUUUGUGGUAAACACGUACAGCGCAUGUGUUGGCAGACCUCCAGCACCUACAAGGCCAGGGUGAUAUUCAUGCUAAAUAGGUAUUUCAUGCUCCACCAAUCCCCAGUGGACAAAUUUACAACCACAGCCUGUCUUGUAUUUAAGGCGAGUGCCUUUGUUCCCCGGGGUCCCCGUAUCAUCAAUAAGGUGUUCCUGCAAUAAAGGCUGAUUGAGAAGGA